rnacentral:rRNA from 8 species
AGCAACAAAUGCCCUGCUUCCAGGAAAAGCCUCUAAGCAUCAGGUAACAUCAAAUCGUACCCCAAACCGACACAGGUGGUCAGGUAGAGAAUACCAAGGCGCUUGAGAGAACUCGGGUGAAGGAACUAGGCAAAAUGGUGCCGUAACUUCGGGAGAAGGCACGCUGACACGUAGGUGAAGUGAUUUACUCAUGGAGCUGAAGUCAGUCGAAGAUACCAGCUGGCUGCAACUGUUUAUUAAAAACACAGCACUGUGCAAACACGAAAGUGGACGUAUACGGUGUGACGCCUGCCCGGUGCCGGAAGGUUAAUUGAUGGGGUCAGCGCAAGCGAAGCUCCUGAUCGAAGCCCCGGUAAACGGCGGCCGUAACUAUAACGGUCCUAAGGUAGCGAAAUUCCUUGUCGGGUAAGUUCCGACCUGCACGAAUGGCGUAAUGAUGGCCAGGCUGUCUCCACCCGAGACUCAGUGAAAUUGAACUCGCUGUGAAGAUGCAGUGUACCCGCGGCAAGACGGAAAGACCCCGUGAACCUUUACUAUAGCUUGACACUGAACAUUGAGCCUUGAUGUGUAGGAUAGGUGGGAGGCUUUGAAGUGUGGACGCCAGUCUGCAUGGAGCCGGCCUUGAAAUACCACCCUUUAAUGUUUGAUGUUCUAACGUGGACCCGUGAUCCGGGUUGCGGACAGUGUCUGGUGGGUAGUUUGACUGGGGCGGUCUCCUCCUAAAGAGUAACGGAGGAGCACGAAGGUUGGCUAAUCCUGGUCGGACAUCAGGAGGUUAGUGCAAUGGCAUAAGCCAGCUUGACUGCGAGCGUGACGGCGCGAGCAGGUGCGAAAGCAGGUCAUAGUGAUCCGGUGGUUCUGAAUGGAAGGGCCAUCGCUCAACGGAUAAAAGGUACUCCGGGGAUAACAGGCUGAUACCGCCCAAGAGUUCAUAUCGACGGCGGUGUUUGGCACCUCGAUGUCGGCUCAUCACAUCCUGGGGCUGAAGUAGGUCCCAAGGGUAUGGCUGUUCGCCAUUUAAAGUGGUACGCGAGCUGGGUUUAGAACGUCGUGAGACAGUUCGGUCCCUAUCUGCCGUGGGCGCUGGAGAACUGAGGGGGGCUGCUCCUAGUACGAGAGGACCGGAGUGGACGCAUCACUGGUGUUCGGGUUGUCAUGCCAAUGGCACUGCCCGGUAGCUAAAUGCGGAAGAGAUAAGUGCUGAAAGCAUCUAAGCACGAAACUUGCCCCGAGAUGAGUUCUCCCUGAGACUUUAGGUCUCCUGAAGGAACGUUGAAGACGACGACGUUGAUAGGCCGGGUGUGUAAGCGCAGCGAUGCGUUGAGCUAACCGGUACUAAUGAACCGUGAGGCUUAACCUUACA